AUAGUAUCUUCUGCUCAAUGUAAAUAGCCGCAGUACCCUGACUGUGCAAAGGUAGCAUAAUCAUUUGGCUUAUAAUUGAAGUCUAGUAUAAAUGAAUCAUGAAGGUUGCUGUCUCUUUCCUUGUAUUAAUUUAAUAAUGAAGUGAAAAUACUUCAUAAAACAAUAGACGAGAAGACCCUUGAAAUUUUAAUUUUUGUUGGGGCAACAUAGUAUUACUAUAAAUAUAUUAUAUAAAAAUAAUAAAUUACUCUAGGGAUAACAGCAUAAUCUUAAAUGUUUGUGACCUCGAUGUUGGAUUAGGUAUAAUUAAAG
rnacentral:rRNA from 1 species